UACGGAGGAUCCAAGCGUUAUCCGGAUUCACUGGGUUUAAAGGGUGCGUAGGUGGAAUGUCAAGUCAGUGGUGAAAUACUGUAGCUCAACUAUAGAACUGCCAUUGAUACUGUCAUUCUUGAGUACAUUUGAUGUGAGCGGAAUGUGUCGUGUAGCGGUGAAAUGCUUAGAUAUGACACAGAACACCAAUUGCGAAGGCAGCUCACAAAACUGUAACUGACACUGAGGCACGAAAGCGUGGGGAGCAAACAGG
rnacentral:rRNA from 1 species